GAUUCCAGCCUGACAAACAAGAAGAACACACCUAAUUGUUAGUCAAAAUGGACCGGACAAGAAGAAACAUAUAAACAUAGUAGACAGGUACGAGUAAUUGAGUAUCAUUAUUGGCAAUGGAUAGUGAUAAUGUAACACAUGAAUCAUAAACCUGGACGAGAUUCUCUUACUUGGCCUCUCCAGAGAAUGCAUUUGAGUUCAGAAAUAUG